AUUGAACGCUGGCGGAAUGCUUUACACAUGCAAGUCGAACGGCAGCACGGACUUCGGUCUGGUGGCGAGUGGCGAACGGGUGAGAAAUGUAUCGGAACGCGCCCAGUCGUGGGGGAUAACGUAGUGAAAAUUACGCUAAUACCGCAUACGAUCUAUGGAUGACAGCGGGGGAUCGCAAGACCUCCCUCGAUUGGAGCUGCCGAUAUCAGUUUAGGUAGUUGGUGGGGUAAAGGCACACCAAGCAAACGAUCUGUAGCUGGUCUGAGAGGACGACCAGCCACACUGUAACUGAGACACGGUCCAGACUCCUACGGGAGGCAGCAGUGGGGAAUUUUGGACAAUGGGCGAAAGCCUGAUCCAGCCAUUCCGCGUGCAGGAUGAAGGCCCUCGGGUUGUAAACUGCUUUUGUACAGAACGAAAAGGUUUCUACUAAUACUAGGAGCUCAUGACGGUACUGUAAGAAUAAGCACCGGCUAACUACGUGCCAGCAGCCGCAGUAA
rnacentral:rRNA from 1 species